rnacentral:rRNA from 1 species
AGAUGUUGGUUAAGUCCCGCAACGAGCGCAACCCCUAUUGUUAGUUGCCAUCAUUCAGUUGGGCACUCUAGCGAGACUGCCGGUAAUAAACCGGAGGAAGGUGGGGAUGACGUCAAAUCAUCAUGCCCCUUAUGACCUGGGCUACACACGUGCUACAAUGGUUGGUACAACGAGUUGCGAGUCGGUGACGGCGAGCUAAUCUCUUAAAGCCAAUCUCAGUUCGGAUUGUAGGCUGCAACUCGCCUACAUGAAGUCGGAAUCGCUAGUAAUCGCGGAUCAGCACGCCGCGGUGAAUACGUUCCCGGGCCUU